rnacentral:rRNA from 1 species
CGAUGAAGCUGGAGCUUGCUCCGGUGGAUUAGUGGCGAACGGGUGAGUAACACGUGAGCAAUCUGCCCUUGACUCUGGGAUAACUGCGGGAAACUGUAGCUAAUACCGGAUACGAGAUUCGGAGGCAUCUCCGGAUCUGGAAAGAAUUUCGGUCAAGGAUGAGCUCGCGGCCUAUCAGCUUGUUGGUGAGGUAAUGGCUCACCAAGGCGACGACGGGUAGCCGGCCUGAGAGGGUGACCGGCCACACUGGGACUGAGACACGGCCCAGACUCCUACGGGAGGCAGCAGUGGGGAAUAUUGCACAAUGGGCGAAAGCCUGAUGCAGCAACGCCGCGUGAGGGAUGAAGGCCUUCGGGUUGUAAACCUCUUUUAGCAGGGAAGAAGCGAAAGUGACGGUACCUGCAGAAAAAGCACCGGCUAACUACGUGCCAGCAGCCGCGGUAAUACGUAGGGUGCAAGCGUUGUCCGGAAUUAUUGGGCGUAAAGAGCUCGUAGGCGGUUUGUCGCGUCUGCUGUGAAAACCUGAGGCUCAACCUCAGGCCUGCAGUGGGUACGGGCAAGCUAGAGUGCGGUAGGGGAGAUGGGAAUUCCUGGUGUAGCGGUGGAAUGCGCAGAUAUCAGGAGGAACACCGAUGGCGAAGGCACAUCUCUGGGCCGUAACUGACGCUGAGGAGCGAAAGCGUGGGGAGCGAACAGGAUUAGAUACCCUGGUAGUCCACGCCGUAAACGGUGGGUGCUAGUUGUGGGUUCCAUUCCACGGAAUCCGUGAC